rnacentral:rRNA from 1 species
GACGAACGCUGGCGGCGUGCCUAAUACAUGCAAGUUGAGCGAUGAAGAUUGGUGCUUGCACCAAUUUGAAGAGCAGCGAACGGGUGAGUAACGCGUGGGGAAUCUGCCUUUGAGCGGGGGACAACAUUUGGAAACGAAUGCUAAUACCGCAUAACAACUUUAAACAUAAGUUUUAAGUUUGAAAGAUGCAAUUGCAUCACUCAAAGAUGAUCCCGCGUUGUAUUAGCUAGUUGGUGAGGUAAAGGCUCACCAAGGCGAUGAUACAUAGCCGACCUGAGAGGGUGAUCGGCCACAUUGGGACUGAGACACGGCCCAAACUCCUUCGGGAGGCAGCAGUAGGGAAUCUUCGGCAAUGGACGCAAGUCUGACCGAGCAACGCCGCGUGAGUGAAGAAUGUUUUCGGAUCGUAAAACUCUGUUGGUAGAGAAGAACGUUGGUGAGAGUGGAAAGCUCAUCAAGUGACGGUAACUACCCAGAAAGGGACGGCUAACUACGUG